GGGCCUAUAGCUCAGCUGGUUAGAGCGCACGCCUGAUAAGCGUGAGGUCGGUGGGUCGAGUCCACUUAAGCCCA
rnacentral:tRNA from 1 species